rnacentral:rRNA from 1 species
CAGUCGCCGCGGUAAUACGGAGGGGCUAGCGUUGUUCGGAAUUACUGGGCGUAAAGCGCACGUAGGCGGCUUGGUAAGUUAGAGGUGAAAGCCCGGAGCUCAACUCCGGAAUUGCCUUUAAGACUGCCGAGCUAGUAGGUGAGAGAGGUAAGUGGAAUUCCGAGUGUAGAGGUGAAAUUCGUAGAUAUUCGGAAGAACACCAGUGGCGAAGGCGGCUUACUGGCUCAUUCUAGACGCUGAGGUGCGAAAGCGUGGGGAGCAAACAGGAUUAGAUACCCGGGUAGUCCCUGUCUCUUAUACA